UAGUAACGGCGAGUGAAGCGGCAACAGCUCAAAUUUGAAAGCUAGCCUUCGGGUUCGCAUUGUAAUUUGUAGAGGAUGAUUUGGGGAAGCCGCCUGUCUAAGUUCCUUGGAACAGGACGUCAUAGAGGGUGAGAAUCCCGUAUGUGACAGGAAAUGGCACCCUAUGUAAAUCUCCUUCGACGAGUCGAGUUGUUUGGGAAUGCAGCUCUAAAUGGGAGGUAAAUUUCUUCUAAAGCUAAAUAUUGGCGAGAGACCGAUAGCGCACAAGUAGAGUGAUCGAAAGAUGAAAAGCACUUUGGAAAGAGAGUUAAAAAGCACGUGAAAUUGUUGAAAGGGAAGCGCUUGCAAUCAGACUUGUUUAAACUGUUCGGCCGGUCUUCUGACCGGUUUACUCAGUUUGGACAGGCCAGCAUCAGUUUCGGCGGCCGGAUAAAGGCUCUGGGAAUGUGGCCUCCACUUCGGUGGAGGUGUUAUAGCCCAGGGUGUAAUACGGCCAGCCGGGACUGAGGUCCGCGCUUCGGCUAGGAUGCUGGCGUAA
rnacentral:rRNA from 1 species